AGUGAACGCUGGCGGUAGGCCUAACACAUGCAAGUCGAACGGCAGCACAGUAAGAGCUUGCUCUUACGGGUGGCGAGUGGCGGACGGGUGAGGAAUACAUCGGAAUCUACUUUUUCGUGGGGGAUAACGUAGGGAAACUUACGCUAAUACCGCAUACGACCUACGGGUGAAAGCAGGGGAUCUUCGGACCUUGCGCGAUUGAAUGAGCCGAUGUCGGAUUAGCUAGUUGGCGGGGUAAAGGCCCACCAAGGCGACGAUCCGUAGCUGGUCUGAGAGGAUGAUCAGCCACACUGGAACUGAGACACGGUCCAGACUCCUACGGGAGGCAGCAGUGGGGAAUAUUGGAAAAUGGGCGCAAGCCUGAUCCAGCCAUACCGCGUGGGUGAAGAAGGCCUUCGGGUUGUAAAGCCCUUUUGUUGGGAAAGAAAAGCAGCAGGUUAAUACCCCGCUGUUCGGACGGUACCCAAAGAAUAAGCACCGGCGAACUUCGU
rnacentral:rRNA from 1 species